GUCGGGAUAGCUCAUUUGGUAUAGCAGAGGACUGAAAAUCCU
rnacentral:tRNA from 1 species